rnacentral:lncRNA from 1 species
AACAAUUCUCAGAAUGUUUUAAUGAAUUUAAAAACUCAAUAUGCUAAAAGCAAAAACACAAGCCUGAAACCAAAAAGCUUCCACCUGUUCUUAACACCAAACCACAAGAUAAUCUAAGGAGUUCAAUUCUCCUGAUCCUUAAAUCUCUAAUACUGAAUCUUAGUAUAAAAUUUUACAUUGUAAUUACAGUUUUUAUUUCCUCACCCUUCCCCUCUUCUACCUCAAAUACUUUAAAAUGGCAUGCAAUAUGUUUUAAAAUGAUGACAUUUCAAUUUAGAAAUGCUUCAGAUAUAUGCUAUUCUCUGAUGAAGUAAUUUUCUAAAUGAGUGAAAGUUUUAUUUUAUAAAUGAUACAUUCUAUGCUUUUAAACAGAGCAGGCUUUAGAAAUAAUAUUAAAGA